rnacentral:rRNA from 1 species
GACGAACGCUGGCGGCGUGCUUAACACAUGCAAGUCGAACGGAAAGGCCCUGCUUUUGUGGGGUGCUCGAGUGGCGAACGGGUGAGUAACACGUGAGUAACCUGCCCUUGACUUUGGGAUAACUUCAGGAAACUGGGGCUAAUACCGGAUAGGAGCUCCUGCUGCAUGGUGGGGGUUGGAAAGUUUCGGCGGUUGGGGAUGGACUCGCGGCUUAUCAGCUUGUUGGUGGGGUAGUGGCUUACCAAGGCUUUGACGGGUAGCCGGCCUGAGAGGGUGACCGGCCACAUUGGGACUGAGAUACGGCCCAGAAUCCUACGGGAGGCAGCAGUGGGGAAUAUUGCACAAUGGGCGGAAGCCUGAUGCAGCAACGCCGCGUGCGGGAUGACGGCCUUCGGGUUGUAAACCGAUUUCGAAUGUGACGAAGCGUGAGUGACGGUAAUGGGUAAAGAAGCCCCGGCUAACUACGUG